UUAGGUACCGUCAAGAUGUGCACAGUUACUUACACAUAUGUUCUUCCCUAAUAACAGAGUUUUACGAUCCGAAGACCUUCAUCACUCACGCGGCGUUGCUCCGUCAGGCUUUCGCCCAUUGCGGAAGAUUCCCUACUGCUGCCUCCCGUAGGAGUCUGGACCGUGUCUCAGUUCCAGUGUGGCCGAUCACCCUCUCAGGUCGGCUAUGCAUCGUUGCCUUGGUAAGCCGUUACCUUACCAACUAGCUAAUGCAGCGCGGAUCCAUCUAUAAGUGACAGCAAGACCGUCUUUCACUUUUGAACCAUGCGGUUCAAAAUAUUAUCCGGUAUUAGCUCCGGUUUCCCGAAGUUAUCCCAGUCUUAUAGGUAGGUUAUCCACGUGUUACUCACCCGUCCGCCGCUAACAUCAGAGAAGCAAGCUUCUCGUCCGUUCGCUCGACUUGCAUGUAUUAGGCACGCCGCCAGCGUUCAUCCUGAGCCAGGAUCAAACCCUC
rnacentral:rRNA from 1 species